rnacentral:rRNA from 1 species
CCUACGUGGUGCAGCAGUGAGGCAUCUUGGUCAAUGGGCGAGAGCCUGAACCAGCCAAGUCGCGUGAGGGAGUACUUCCCUAUGGGUUGUAAACCUCUUUUUUCGGUGAGCAAAAGCCGGACGUGUCCGGCUGUGAGAGUACCCGAAGAAAAAGCAUCGGCUAACUCCGUGCCCGCAGCCGCGGUAAGACGGGGGAUGCGAGGGUUAUCCGGAUUUAGUGGGUUUAAAGGGUGCGCAGGCGGAUUUUUAAGUCAGCGGUCAAAUCGUGGGGCUAAACCCCAUCCAGCCGUUGAAACUGGGGAUCUGGAGUGUGCGAGAGGUAGGCGGAAUGCGUGGUGUAGCGGUGAAAUGCAUAGAUAUCACGCAGAACCCCGAUGGCGAAGGCAGCAUACCGGUGCACAACUGACGCUCAGGCACGAAAGCGUGGGUAUCGAACAGGAUUAGAUACCCCUGUAGUC